rnacentral:rRNA from 1 species
GAUGAACGCUGGCGGCGUGCCUAAUACAUGCAAGUCGAGCGAACAGACGAGGAGCUUGCUCCUCUGACGUUAGCGGCGGACGGGUGAGUAACACGUGGAUAACCUACCUAUAAGACUGGGAUAACUUCGGGAAACCGGAGCUAAUACCGGAUAAUAUAUUGAACCGCAUGGUUCAAUAGUGAAAGACGGUUUUGCUGUCACUUAUAGAUGGAUCCGCGCCGCAUUAGCUAGUUGGUAAGGUAACGGCUUACCAAGGCAACGAUGCGUAGCCGACCUGAGAGGGUGAUCGGCCACACUGAAACUGAGACACGGUCCAGACUCCUACGGGAGGCAGCAGUAGGGAAUCUUCGGCAAUGGGCGAAAGCCUGACGGAGCAACGCCGCGUGAGUGAUGAAGGUCUUCGGAUCGUAAAACUCUGUUAUUAGGGAAGAACAGAUGUGUAAGUAACUAUGCACGUCUUGACGGUACCUAAUCAGAAAGCCACGGCUAACUACGUG